ensembl:piRNA 21ur-7797 ncRNA
UUCAACCAUAGGGUUAUUGCG